ACAUUGAUAGUUCAGUGAUAUAGAAUGCUCGCCUUCUCUGUGGGAGACCCAGGUUCAAUUCCUGACCAAUGGA
rnacentral:tRNA from 1 species